UACGGAGGAUGCGAGCGUUAUCCGGAUUUAUUGGGUUUAAAGGGUGCGCAGGCGGCCUGUUAAGUCAGCGGUAAAAGCCCGGGGCUCAACCCCGGCGAGCCGUUGAAACUGGCGGGCUGGAGUUGGAGAGAAGUACGCGGAAUGCGCGGUGUAGCGGUGAAAUGCUUAGAUAUUAGGAGGAACACCAGUGGCGAAGGCGGCUUACUGGACUGUAACUGACGUUGAGGCUCGAAAGCGUGGGGAGCAAACAGG
rnacentral:rRNA from 1 species